GGGGAAUUUUGCACAAUGGGCGAAAGCCUGAUGCAACAACGCCGCGUGAGUGACGAAGGCCUUCGGGUUGUAAAGCUCUGUCUUCUGGGACGAUAAUGACGGUACCAGAGGAGGAAGCCACGGCUAACUACGUGCCAGCAGCCGCGGUAAUACGUAGGUGGCAAGCGUUGUCCGGAUUUACUGGGCGUAAAGGAUGCGUAGGCGGAUAUUUAAGUCAGAUGUGAAAAUCCCGGGCUCAACUUGGGAACUGCAUUUGAAACUGGGUAUCUAGAGUGCAGGAGAGGAAAGCGGAAUUCCUAGUGUAGCGGUGAAAUGCGUAGAGAUUAGGAAGAACACCAGUGGCGAAGGCGGCUUUCUGGACUGUAACUGACGCUGAGGCAUGAAAGCGUGGGGAGGAAAC
rnacentral:rRNA from 1 species